rnacentral:snRNA from 1 species
GUGAAGGUGAUCUGUGACCUGUCACCCAUGGGUUGCUGGGGUGGAUUUGGCUGAUGUAGUUGACUAGACUAGUGUUUCCCUUCCUCCCUCACUGUCAGUGUCCCUCUGGAAGCUGUCUGCUUGGUUGGUCAAAGAGAAUGACCUCUGCCGGUAGAGGUCAAGGGUGUAGGAGUAGCCAAGCUGCCUUUCCAGAAUCUCCCACAAGCUCACACAUAGACCUUCUCUAGCAUUGUCUCUAUAGCUCAGGAACACCAGCAGCUUUAUAAUUAUCCCAGCCUCUCUUCAUGGUCUGNAAAUGGCU